rnacentral:snRNA from 1 species
GGGCUCACUUUGGCAGCACAUAUACUAAAAUUGGAACGAUACAGAGAAGAUUAGCAUGGCCCCUGCACAGGAUGACACACAAAUUUGUGAAGCGUUUCAUAUGUAA